rnacentral:lncRNA from 1 species
ACGACGUAGGAUAACUAGCUGAAGAUCAGCCGAUAACUUGCUGCAAGCAGCGAGGAUAACUAGUGCAACCUGACGACACGCACAAGGAGCCAACCACCGUCUCUAUACGGCAGCCUGAACCAAGGAUUCGCCCAACCACACUCUCAAAGAACCAACCUACGCAACCUGAACUCAAGGAUCAGGAGCACGGAUUGGGUGCCGAUGACGCGGCCGCUUCUGUAAUCUCCACAAGGAAAACACAAGAGCAAAGGGGUAGAGAUCUCUCUCUGAAUUUGUUAGCACACAGCUGAACAAAGUGGUUUGUAUUCUCAAUAUCAUAAGUCUUCGAUUACAAUGAGUCUUAGGGGGUA